rnacentral:rRNA from 1 species
CAUGCAGGUCGAGGGGCAGCAUUUCAGUUUGCUUGCAAACUGGAGAUGGCGACCGGCGCACGGGUGAGUAACACGUAUCCAACCUGCCGAUAACUCGGGGAUAGCCUUUCGAAAGAAAGAUUAAUACCCGAUGGUAUAAUCAGACCGCAUGGUCUUGUUAUUAAAGAAUUUCGGUUAUCGAUGGGGAUGCGUUCCAUUAGGCAGUUGGUGAGGUAACGGCUCACCAAACCUUCGAUGGAUAGGGGUUCUGAGAGGAAGGUCCCCCACAUUGGAACUGAGACACGGUCCAAACUCCUACGGGAGGCAGCAGUGAGGAAUAUUGGUCAAUGGGCGCAGGCCUGAACCAGCCAAGUAGCGUGAAGGAUGACUGCCCUAUGGGUUGUAAACUUCUUUUAUAUGGGAAUAAAGUUUUCCACGUGUGGAAUUUUGUAUGUACCAUAUGAAUAAGGAUCGGCUAACUCCGUGCCAGCAGCCGCGGUAAUACGGAGGAUCCGAGCGUUAUCCGGAUUUAUUGGGUUUAAAGGGAGCGUAGGUGGACAGUUAAGUCAGUUGUGAAAGUUUGCGGCUCAACCGUAAAAUUGCAGUUGAUACUGGCUGUCUUGAGUACAGUAGAGGUGGGCGGAAUUCGUGGUGUAGCGGUGAAAUGCUUAGAUAUCACGAAGAACUCCGAUUGCGAAGGCAGCUCACUGGACUGCAACUGACACUGAUGCUCGAAAGUGUGGGUAUCAAACAGGAUUAGAUACCCUGGUAGUCCACACAGUAAACGAUGAAUACUCGCUGUUUGCGAUAUACAGUAAGCGGCCAAGCGAAAGCAUUAAGUAUUCCACCUGGGGAGUACGCCGGCAACGGUGAAACUCAAAGGAAUUGACGGGGGCCCGCACAAGCGGAGGAACAUGUGGUUUAAUUCGAUGAUACGCGAGGAACCUUACCCGGGCUUAAAUUGCAUUUGAAUAUAUUGGAAACAGUAUAGCCGUAAGGCAAAUGUGAAGGUGCUGCAUGGUUGUCGUCAGCUCGUGCCGUGAGGUGUCGGCUUAAGUGCCAUAACGAGCGCAACCCUUAUCUUUAGUUACUAACAGGUCAUGCUGAGGACUCUAGAGAGACUGCCGUCGUAAGAUGUGAGGAAGGUGGGGAUGACGUCAAAUCAGCACGGCCCUUACGUCCGGGGCUACACACGUGUUACAAUGGGGGGUACAGAAGGCAGCUACCUGGUGACAGGAUGCUAAUCCCAAAAGCCUCUCUCAGUUCGGAUCGAAGUCUGCAACCCGACUUCGUGAAGCUGGAUUCGCUAGUAAUCGCGCAUCAGCCAUGGCGCGGUGAAUACGUUCCCGGGCCUUGUACACACCGCCCGUCAAGCCAUGAAAGCCGGGGGUACCUGAAGUACGUAACCGCAAGGAGCUCCUAGG